rnacentral:lncRNA from 10 species
GCUGAAGGGAAGUGGCGUGAACAUGGCUCAGUGCAACCUCCACCUCCCGGACUCAAGUGAUCUUCCCAUCUCAGCCUCCUAAGUAGCUGGGACCAUAGGCCAGCACUGUGGGCUCUCAGUUUAUUGGGAAAUGGAAAUAAGAGGGAAGGACAAAAGUCCACUGGGAAGCAGACUGGACAGAAAGGAACUCUGAGCAGCUAAACUCUGACUAAUCCCAGGGUAUACCUGCGUUUUCUCUUCACCAGAUUUUUCCUACCAGGAAGAGCAUGUGCUGACCAACAGACAUGAAUUUCAGCCUGGUAGUUACAACAUUCACAGGAGUUUCACUCGUUGCCCAGGCUGGAGUGCAACGGCGCGAUCUCAGCUCACUGCAACCUCCGCCUCCCCAGUUCAAGCGAUUCUCCUGCCUCAGCCUCCUGAGUCACUGGAAUUACGGGCGCCUGACACCACGCCCAGCUAAUUUUUUGUAUUUUUAGUAGACAUGGGGUUUCACUAUGUUGGCCAGGCUGGUCUCGAACUCCUGACCUCAUGAUCCUCCUGCCUCAGCCUCCCAAAGCACUGGGAUUACAGGUGUGAGCCACUGUGCCUGGUCCAUUAAAAACAUUUGUAAAGCUAUGGUGUUGAUAAAGUAUUAUGAAAGACUGCAAAAAAAGAUGGCUAAUUUUUAGUUAUUAUUGCACAUGUUUAGAGGAGCUAAUGACAUUUUCUAUGAUUAAUAAAAGACAUUAUUUAUGUUUUUAUUUAUGUAUUCCACAACAUUUAUUUUAUUUUCUCCAUUUCAGGAAAACCACUAUGUUGUUACAAUAAAGAUUUUCAUGUAAUUUGUGUUCAAUUGAUAGUAAUAAUGUAACAAGUUAAAAAUGAAGGUAAUUGUGUUUAAAAUUUGAGCAUAUUUUCAUCAAAAUGUAAGUUAAAGUGAUUGUAAAUUUUAAGAUCAUAAUUACUUUGUAUAUCUUCAAGAAAAUUAUUGUUUUAAAAUAUUUAUGCCUAUUAAAAUUAGAAGGCAAAAUAAAAAUAUAUGAAUACCAACAUUUUAAAUAAAAAUCAUUUAAAUAA